rnacentral:rRNA from 1 species
UACGAAGGGGGGCUAGCGUUGCUCGGAAUCACUGGGCGUAAAGGUGCGUAGGCGGGUCUUUAAGUCAGGGGUGAAAUCCUGGAGCUCAACUCCAGAACUGCCUUUGAUACUGAGGAUCUUGAGUUCGGGAGAGUGAGUGGAACUGCGAGUGUAGAGGUGAAAUUCGUAGAUAUUCGCAAGAACACCAGUGGCGAAGGCGGCUCACUGGCCCGAUACUGACGCUGAGGCACGAAAGCGUGGGAGCAAACAGGG